UACGUAGGGGGCUAGCGUUGUCCGGAAUCAUUGGGCGUAAAGCGCGCGUAGGCGGCCCGGUAAGUCCGCUGUAAAAGUCCAGGGGCUCAACCCCUGGAAAGCCGGUGGAUACUGUCGGGCUCGAGUCCGGAAGAGGCGAGUGGAAUUCCUGGUGUAGCGGUGGAAUGCGCAGAUAUCAGGAGGAACACCAAUUGCGAAGGCAGCUCGCUGGGACGGUACUGACGCUGAGGCGCGAAAGCGUGGGGAGC
rnacentral:rRNA from 1 species